ACGUGUGCAUGCUUAUAAAUAUGUUAAUACAGUAACAUAAUCAAACAACGAAAGGACGGACGGACGGACACAAUCGCAAACCAGACAUUUGGACCAUACAAAAAAGUAUAAACUGUUCACGGAAAACAUAUUUAUCUUUUUCUAGAAUAUUCGUCGGUUAUUUCGUACAUAAGGUGGAACAACGUUACUGCAAUCGUUCUCUUCACAUUGAUAGGAUAUGCUGUAUGCUGCUGCUAUGGAUUGCUUAAAAUGCACUGGAGUAUAGCUGUUUUAUUUACAGAGGCAGUACAGUUUUUGAACUACGUGCUUAUAUUCACCUUGGUUGGACCAGCGAAUGGAUUUACGGCAGCCAACACAACUACCUCUUUCCGUGUUUUCGCAUCUAUUUCCGGACUCGUGAUUGUUGUUUGCAUGCCAUUAGUGACUGUCGCAGCCGUAAAAUAUUGCCGAUCCCGGGGUUCAAAACGCAUAGCAAUAUUGAAAGCACCACUGACGUCACAACGCAUAGCCAAAUCGGAACAAACACCAACAUCACUGAUUCGUGUAAAUUAUAUGAAAGCAGUGAGGAAAGAGAAUACACGCGGUACAACGAUAAUACCUUUUCAGAUAGUGAAACUUUAUAGACCAAAUACAACAGAUUUACGAGAAGAAUUUUCACACGUACUGCAACAAUUGUGGCAAAAACAUGCACAAUUUAUCGGUAUAGGCAAAGA